UACAGAGGGUGCGAGCGUUGUCCGGAAUCACUGGGCGUAAAGGGCGCGUAGGUGGCGAUCCAAGUCCAUGGUGAAAGCUCGAUGCUCAACAUCGAGUCGGCCACGGAUACUGGGUUGCUUGAGCACUGUAGGGGCAGAUGGAAUUCCGGGUGUAGCGGUGGAAUGCGUAGAGAUCCGGAAGAACACCGGUGGCGAAGGCGGUCUGCUGGGCAGUUGCUGACACUGAGGCGCGACAGCGUGGGGAGCAAACAGGG
rnacentral:rRNA from 1 species